UACGCACUAUCACUGCGAAAGCAAUAGUGAAGUGUUUAGAAAAAGGUAUUUUCCUUGUACACGGGAUUCCAAAGAUUUUAUUCUGUGACAAUGGUGCUCAAUUUACAUCCAAGGAUUUCAGAGAUCUCAUGACUAAAUAUGGGGUUCCCCAUAUUUUCUAUAACCCUAGAUACCAUCCUCAGACGAACCAAACGGAGCGCGUAAACCGUGAGUUAGUCAGAACCAUUGCCUCCUAUGUGCGUUCUGAUCACCGUAAUUGGGAUAAGAACGUCUCGGAGAUUCAGUGCGCCCUUAAUACUGCCAAGCACGAAGUUACGAGACACUCCCCGUAUUUCCUCAUGCAUGGUCGUCAAAUGAUAUUAGAUGGUUCUAUUUAUAAUCAUGAGACCCCUAUAGAUCCUGAUUCUGUAGAGAUAGAUACCAGCAGUAUUUUUUCAGAUAAGUUGAAAGAGCUCCAGUCUGUAUUUAAUAAGGUGCGUCAUUUGCAAACUGCUUCCCAUGAACGUAAUGCUCGAUAUUACAAUAUGAGGAAGCGACAUGUAGUAUUAGAAGAAGGUCAAAUAGUAUAUAAAAAGUGUUUUCCUUUAUCGAACGCAUCUAAAAAUUUUUCUGCUAAAUUGGCACCUCGUUACGAAAAAUGUGUUAUACACAAAAAAUUAAGUCCCUUAGUCUUUACUUUAAAAUCCCUAGGAGGUAAACUUUUAGGUAACUUCCACAUAAAGGAUAUUGUCCGUCCGGGUGAAGCAGAGCCUUCCCCUAGAUAGCUAACAUUUGUGAUUUGGGCCAAACUCCGUACAUACGUAUAAUCUGUUUGUUAGGAAUCUGUGGAUCUCCUACUUUCUCUUGCAAACUAGGAAUCUCUAUCUCUCCUGUUGGUAUAGGCUUGGUUGCGCGCGAACCAACCUACCUCUCUAAUAAUUAUGUCCUUAUAAAGACGUAAAUACUUAAAGAAUAUAUACACAUAAAUAUGAGUCUCACUCGUUAAUAUUUCUAAAAAGGUGAACUUUGCGAAGUCCACACUUCUAAUAGAAUAUUUUACAUAGAACCGUUACUUGGUAAGUCUAAGAGUUCUAUCUCUUAGCCUGGUAGUAUUCGAGAUAGCUUGUUGUUAGGAUAGUUCAGAUCGAAAAGAAUCGUCCAGCACAACCUAAUCUUACCUUUUUAGGCAUUCUGUAAUAAAGGACAUGAAAUGUGCCUCCCUCUUUAAUUUAAGAACCGUGGAUCCACAAUUAUUUUACACGUAGGUUACAUUAGUUAGUUCCAUAUUUAACGUAGUAUCUCUCUCAUAAGAUAUGAUAGUUUCUUGCAUGAUAGAAGUAAAUCCAUUCCAGUAGUUAUAGUUAAUUUCCAAAUCCCGUGGAUUAGAAAGUCGUUCUUAAGGUAAUAAAAAAAUAAAUAGUUUGUAGUUCCGUACAUGCCUGAUCAGCCUCUGUACCAAACAUAUUUUGAAUUAAGUUAAGUUUAUUUAGUUUCUGUUGCUUCUUUAGACAGAAUUUACGUUUAUUUCAUGUUCCUACUCAUCCUACAAGUUCAUUUUAGUUAUCUUUAAAUAAAAUUAAGAGAACAAAUCCCACUAAUAGUAUAACAUAAAAUUCUGUUUGAGUAUCUAUAUCCUUACUAACCGCUAACACUCUCCAAAUUUCUGCUUAUUAACCGCUUUCAAAUGCAAUCAACUAAUUCUCUUCGCUUAUGCUCCUGCACCGUCAUUCUAUAUUCAAAUCCCUAAUAACCGUUAACUCCUUUGAUGCUACUUACUAAUGCUUAUAUCGCCAUUAAUACUUCCGCUUUUGCUAAAUAGUUCCCUGUUCUAUCCCAGAUACAUAAUUAAAUUCAUUCACCUACCAAUUUAAAAAAAAAAAAAAUUUUUUUAGUUCAAAAAUUUUUUUUUUAACCCAACCAAAGAUGAACUGUAACACUUCAGAGGUUACGCAUCUCCAUAGUUUCUAACGUAUUAAGCUGCAAGUAGAUGGAUGGAUAAAUGGAAAACGUAAUGCAGUAUAAAUUCACAACACUGAGCCCUAGAAUGGAGUUUAAAGUAUAAAAACAUACCGGUAAAAUUCUGAUGCCGGAACUGAUGCACUAGUUUGCUAUUUUACACAUAUUUCGUAGCCAUAUGGCCCUGCAACUUUAAGAUAUACUUCACUUGUAAUCCACCACACAGCUUUAACCUCAUUUUGUUUAAUAUUCACUCACUUUUCGUAAUAAAUUCACUUUGUUUUGAGACCCUGCGUGGGUUAGAUGUGUUCUGUCACUUCUGACAGUUUGACGUUUAUAAACUGGUUGGGGAAGAUUUGAGUCACAUAAAUACCCGUUCAAUGAAAAGUUUUUUUUUCUUGUCGGAGAAAAUCUGAUUUCAUUUUCAUUAAGAUAAAUUAACAUUAUAACAUGUAAAGUAAUUCUAGGAUAUUGGUUUGCAAUAAAAUUUAGCUAAUAGUUUGGUUUUGUUUUUCUUCUGCGGCGUUAGUCGUGUUCUCAUUUGUCUAUGAUAUGGUCAUUAGCAAAGGUGACUAUUUGCAUUACGGGGUUGAAGAUUCGUUUAAUGUAAGUUAAUUUCUUCUUUCCAUACAAAAAUACUUAGAAUUUUAAAAUGAGGGGUAUGUUGUUAUUUGUCUUAAUUUUUGGUGAAAGUUUUCACAAUCUAAUAUUUCCUUUUCUUUGGUUGGAUACGUGGCUAAGGUCUCGGGCCACCAUUGAAAUAUUGUGAUUGCCUGAAGUGAAUCGUAGCUGACAGCAUGUGAAAUUAUGAGAUAGUUAAUAUCCCAGGCAAUCUAUUCAUUCCGGGCCGAGCCCGUUAAACUCGAUUAACCUAAAAAUGUAAGCCGCCCUUACAAAGAAAAGUAAACAGCCAGUUUAUUUCGGUGAGUUUUGGUAAUAAAACAAGUGUUGCUCGGAGGUUAUUCCUUCAUGUUCUUUGUCCAGAACACCGUUUCUUAUUAUUUUGUAUUACCUUUCCAGCCUUCAAUCUUCCCAUCGCUGCCACGUGAGAACGUGACGGUGACAUCCAGAGGAAAAUAAGGAAAACACCCAGCCUUUCUGGUAAGUGGUUUUAUCUCUGUUACACCAAAAACCCCUAAAAGCAACCCCGCGAUUAAAAAUAUAGAAUUAAUUAAAACAACAAGUUACCGAUUUCCAAAAUUAUCUCACCUGGUUAUUUUGUUUGUCCACCAGGGUGUUUUUAUCCGGGUAUAUGUUCCCCAUACUAUCCUGCUACUAUCCUGGUAUUAUGUCCUGAACUGGAGUUAGCAGUUUGCUGCCAAAACUACUCGUGAGAGAAACCGCCCAAGUUUGUGAAACGGAUUAAUACCUAGGAUAUUUUACAUUUAUAACAUAGCAUUUUUAAUUAAGGAUAUCCAUCCAGGAAUAAGACCAAUAUAAUUUUGUGGAGCGAUAUAAAUAUAUAUAUUUCCUGUAAUAAAACUUAAAUUAAAUACUUCCACCUCCGUUAGACUGUACGAUGGUGAUAGAAAAUAAGAACUUAGUGAAGGUUGUUCUUACAAUAAAUUAAUUAAAUUAGU
rnacentral:lncRNA from 1 species